rnacentral:rRNA from 1 species
UACGUAGGGUGCGAGCGUUUGUCCGGAAUUAUUGGGCGUAAAGAGCUCGUUAGGCGGUUUGUCGCGUCGGCCGUGAAAUCUCCACGCUUAACGUGGAGCGUGCGGUCGAUACGGGCAGACUUGAGUUCGGUAGGGGAGACUGGAAUUCCUGGUGUAGCGGUGAAAUGCGCAGAUAUCAGGAGGAACACCGGUGGCGAAGGCGGGUCUCUGGGCUGACACUGACGCUCGAUGCACGAAAGCGUGGGGAGCAAACAGG